UGUAGCUGGAGUUACAGGCAGUUGCAAGACGUUGUGUACUGAACUCAUGUCCUCUAAAAGAAUGCAAAUGUUCUUAACCAACUGAACCAUCUCUCCUGCCCUGAUUUACUAAUUAAAUGUAUUCUUUGACAGUUUCCUAUGUAUGUAUAAUGUACUCUGGCUACCCUCACCCUGCCCCGUCUUCCUUCCCUUUCCCUUGAUAAUGUCUUUGUGAUUCACUGAGUCUAACCAAGGCACGACCAUGUAUAUGGAACUAUCUGUUGAUAGUUAUAAUGACGCCUCUUCCCUCAGUACCCUUCUGUAAGCUAGAGUUCCCUAGGAAAGGGUAGGGACUCAUGAACCCCUCCCAAUCCACACUGACUGCUGACAGUCGUCUUGUGCAGGCUUGGUACGGGCAACUGCAGCUUCUGUGAGUUCAUGAUUGUAAAACUAUCAUUCUUAGGAGAGAGUGUUUUGUAGCUCAUCUCCUUGUCGCCCAACUCUUAGAUUUUCUUCUGUUCUUUUGCUGAGAUGUUCUCUCAACUAUAGAUGGGUCUAUCAUUCUUUUAGUAGGUUAAGGGGUUGGGACAAUAGUUCUGUUGACUUGCUUAAAAUUUGAAACCUAAGUUUGAUUCCUAACAUUCACGUAAAAAUUCCAGGUCUAGUGUUGCACGUUAAUAACCCCAGUGUUGGGGAGGUAGCAGAGACAGGAGGAACCCCUGGCUCAUUGGCUAGGCAGGCUAGCCUAAUUGGUGAGCUCAAAGUCAAUAAAUCCUGUCUCAAAGGAGGUGGAUGGUAUUUCUGAGGGUGACACUUGAGGUUGUCCUCCGGUCUCUAGAACAUAUAUGCACAUGUUAAAAAGAUUUUAUAUAUAUAUAUAGUCUUUACAUAUAUACUUUAUUAAUAUGUAGCUAUUAACAUAUAGAACUAUACAUUUUAUAUAGUAUAUAACCUAUAUAUUAUAUUAUAUUAAAUAUAAUCUAUAAGUAUAUAGAUACAAUAUAUAUCUACAUGGAUAUUAUAUAGAUAGAUGGAUUAUAUAUAUAACAUAUAUUAUAUAUAUAGUUAUGAGGCAUUGACUUCUUCGUAGUUAGAAUAAAUAAAAUGUAUCU
rnacentral:lncRNA from 1 species